AUUGAACGCUGGCGGCAUGCUUUACACAUGCAAGUCGAACGGCAGCGCGGGCUUCGGCCUGGCGGCGAGUGGCGAACGGGUGAGUAAUGCAUCGGAACGUGCCCAGUAGUGGGGGAUAGCCCGGCGAAAGCCGGAUUAAUACCGCAUACGACCUGAGGGUGAAAGCGGGGGACCGAAAGGCCUCGCGCUAUUGGAGCGGCCGAUGUCGGAUUAGCUAGUUGGUGGGGUAAAGGCUUACCAAGGCGACGAUCCGUAUCUGGUCUGAGAGGACGACCAGCCACAAUGGGACUGAGACACGGCCCAGACUCCUACGGGAGGCAGCAGUGGGGAAUUUUGGAAAAUGGGGGCAACCCUGAUCCAGCCAUGCCGCGUGCGGGAAGAAGGCCUUCGGGUUGUAAAACGCUUUUGUUCGGGAAGAAAUCCUCUGGGCUAAUACCCCGGGGGGAUGACGGUACCGGAAGAAUAAGCACCGGCUAACUACGUG
rnacentral:rRNA from 1 species